CCAUAGCUCAGUUGGUUAGAGCGCUACCUUGACAUGGUAGAGGUCGGCGGUUCGAAUCCGCCUGG
rnacentral:tRNA from 1 species